rnacentral:rRNA from 1 species
CCCUUAGAUGUUCUGGGCUGCACGCGUGUUACACUGAAGUGGUCAGCGCGCCGUUCAACGUCCCACUCCGUGAGGAGCGGGCAAACGUUUGAACCCUUUUCGUGAUGGGAAUUGGGGGUUGCAAUUGUCCCCCAUGAACGAGGAAUUCCUAGUAAGCGCAAGUCAACAGCUUGCGUUGAUUACGUCCCUGCCCUUUGUACACACCGCCCGUCGCUACUACUGAUUGGAUGUUUAAGCGAGGUUCUCGAACUGCUAGCGACUUAGCUUCGGUGAGGUCGCAGUGUGGGAAGUGAACCUAGCUUUGGUGUCUAGAGGAAGUAAAAGUCGUAACA